ACUACUAAUACAAUUGUGAGUUAAAAUGAUAAAAAUUAUGAAAGUAUUGUGACCGUCGAGCCCGUCGAAACAGAAACGUCUGCAACAACCAGUGAAAUACUUAAUGAUUUAGGAGACAUAAAUUCGGGACCGGCUCAACCUAAAACUAAAAAGAAUGCUGACACAGGAGAUGGAUGAGAUACAGUGAACGGACAAAACACAGAUGUCAGAUAGUUGGAGAUGAACGUCAAUAUAACGAACAUUAUGUUACAUACCAGAGAUGGGCAGUUCAAAGUAACUGAAGGGCCAAUUUAUAGAGCUUUAAAAUUUGGAAGGUCAGAACA